rnacentral:snoRNA from 1 species
AAUGCGGCCGUUGAUCUCCCCUGGCGCCCCUCCCCUGGGCCAGGGGCUUCGUGGACCGCAGAGAUCA